rnacentral:rRNA from 1 species
GAUCCUGGCUCAGAUUGAACGCUGGCGGCAGGCUUAACACAUGCAAGUCGAACGGUAACAGGAGAAAGCUUGCUUUCUUGCUGACGAGUGGCGGACGGGUGAGUAAUGCUUGGGAAUCUGGCUUAUGGAGGGGGAUAACGACGGGAAACUGUCGCUAAUACCGCGUAGAGUCGAGAGACGAAAGUGGGGGACCGCAAGGCCGCAUGCCAUAGGAUGAGCCCAAGUGGGAUUAGGUAGUUGGUGGGGUAA